AACUCCCGCCACCCCACACAGUGCUGGCUGACUGAGGAGAGACUCUGCUUGCCGCCGUGGGCAUCUCUGUCAACGUUCAUUCUCUGUCCCUCAUGCCUGGUAUUCGUGGAGACCCAUGAUUGAAAUUUUUCAGGGUUGACUCAUGGUAUUAAGAUAGCUGCUGCAAUUCCAGAUAUUGCAUCCUUCUGAAAAGGUUUCCUGGAGAGAAGCCGACAUUCUUUAGGACUACAGUGCCUGUGAAUAACAGAAACCCAAAACACCAGGGGAUUAAUUGAGCUUGAGAUCCUGGUCGAAGAUGGUGGCAACUGCAUUGUGAGUUGCAGGCUAUAGAAGGAGGAAAUGAGAGGUCAGGGACAUGCAUAUGCUGCUCUGAAGGACGUUCCUAAGAAGCUGGUGACAGUUCCAGUUGUGUUCCAUCCACCAGAACUAAGUACAUGGCCACAACUACUUCAGGGGAUUGGGAGUCAUUAUCGUUCUUCUGUGUGAUCUGGGAGCAGCUGAGAACAGGGAUCUCAUGCAGUGCAGUGCACCGCUUGGGUGCUAGAAUGAUUCUAGUCCUGUAAAGAGUGUCUCUUGCCUUACUCUCACUUUUCACACAAGGCGAGGAUCUCCAGAUACGUCCCUUUCAUCUCCUUGGGCACAGCAGUGCUGAGUAAGGUUCCCCAGCUGCAAUCGAGGCUGGAGGGAGAAUCUGUCCUUACAGUCUCUGUCAUGGGCAGGUGCCUAAUAGCUAGAUAAGCGAGGAAGUGGGUUUUUUUUUUAAAGCAUCCAACAG